UACUAGAGAUGAAGAACAUUUCACAAGUGGACACGGCCAGAGUAAUUAAAAUGUCUGUUUAUUCAUUUAGAAACUUAGUAACAUGAAAAUCUUAAUUGGAAUCUGGCUUGAUAGAAACAGUGCACAAUAUUAAUACCACAUUCAUGGAGGCAGAAGUGUUCAGUCACCCUGGGGACUAAUGUCACCAGAGCCCUUGAGAAAAAUCCCAUCCCCUAAAGUGCCUCAAAUGUCUUCAGCACCACAAGCUGACGUUACCCAGGGACAGAAAGGGGCUGAGUGAACUGCACGCUUACAAAGGUAAAUAAGGAGUUACAGCCCUGUACAAUAAUUACGAUGGCAUUUCCUGCAUCCCAAGAGUAGACCCGAGAGUGAAGUGUUAAGUACACUGCUAGAAACCCCCCGAUUGAAAGAAGUUGCAGAAAUUUCUACCCCUCACCUGUUUGAUCUGGAGAAGGGAGGCUAUGGCAGGUGGAUGGGAACCCUCAAAUUGAAAUGAAGUUUCUUUUCAUCCUUCCUGUCUACACCCACCAUGGGACGUUCUGGUGUAAGGCACGAGAACCGGGGUUGAAGAGAGGUGCUCCCAGCUCAAGUUCUUGGUGUGCAAAGGAAAUCCUGGCAUAGAUCUUUUGAAACAGAUGCUCAAAAUACCCACCCCACCCCUUGUAAUUUCUGUCCUUGACAGAAAACCGAGAAGGCAGAAAAGGUUUGCAAAGGGUAAAAAUAGGUACAUCUAAAUGUGAGAAAGAAAGCCCAUGAAGAAGUGUCUAAUUCUUCAAGGAAUGCAGUCUCUGCUCAGAGAAGUCAAGAAUCCUAGUAUAUGAUGAAUAACUCUGGUGUUUAAUGGACAAGAGAAGGCAAAGACAUACAAAAAUAUUUAGUUCUCUUGAAAAAUAGUGCAUUUGUAGUGAUGAGGGAUGGCAAGUGCAAGCCCUGUGCAGAUGAGGAGGGAGCCUCACAACUCAGCACCUUAAAGUGGAGGACGCCGAGGUGGGGGUGCAGGGGAGGCGCUGCCAGGCAGACCCAAGGCUUGCAGCUCGCUGCAGGACAUGGUUAGCGCCUGAAAACUCUCAUGUCAUCUACCAUUUCUGCCCCUUUGUUGUACUUCUGCUGAAUCCAUGUGCCUGCAAAUGACAAUUCGUGACUCGUGAAAAUGUUCCCUUUAUCAUGCUGAUAAAAGCUGCUUCUGUCAGUGUGGGUGCAGGGGAGUGUGCAAAAGGAAAUGUGAAAACAGUAGAAAGUUCUUCAGUAUUGUCCUAGUGAUCAGACCUCUACCUUGGAUACUUAAAGGGAUCCUUGCCUAUUAUUAUACUGGUCAAGCAGUUAGAAGAUUGAAGCCAGUAGCUAACCCCUGAAAGUCAGCCAGGACACAGCCUUCUAGGGUCAGAACCAAGACUACAGGUUAUAGAAGAUUCCCUUUUAUCUCCCUUAGGUGAUAAGGGAGGGUAAAGACUCAGAUGCCAGCCCACAUGUCCAUCAAGCAGAGGAUAAACCGAGCCAGAAAGCAAGGUUCAAAAAGAAGAGGAGCCCCUCCCUCAAGAGAGUACAAGAGGUGACGACCGAUCAUUUUGGAGAAAAAAAGGAGCAGCCACCUGAAACCAAAGUCCUGCUAACGUUUCACAAGAGUCCAGAUCCCUCAGAUCUCUAGGGAGAGAGGAAUUUACACAGGUAAAUGCAUGGGGCCUGACUGCCCCAGAAACGACAUUCUGUCAGGUAUGUGGGGAGGCAGGAAAGAGUCACCCCUUUUAGAAUUAGGACCAAAGAGAUAAACUACCAGAUUCAUACUGUUGACAUCUGAAUUACCCAGGGGAUUUCAAGGGUGAGUGUUAAAGUGUUAGAAUCUCGAAGUGUGGGUGUCUGUCAGGGCCCUCAAUAAACAAGUGAUGCUCCAGGAAAUUAACAUCUUGCCAGAGUCUUAAAAGUGUGACCCUUAUUUAUGGUUACAAUUUAAAUCUAGAAUGCCUUUUAGAAUAAACCCUAAAUCUCCAUUUACAAAGAGGAGCGUGGCACAGAGCACGGGAUACCUUUAGUGCUGUGUUGCCUGUUUCCAUCUUCCUUAGUCCGUUGGGCCCCUGCCACUCACACCUGCGCAGCCCGGCACCUGGGUCCUGCUGUCCAGUGGAGCGACACCCCUGCCCCUUCCCUACCCAGGGGCAGCAUCUCUCUGGGAACAGAGUUCUACCUACCUACUCCCUUGAUAAAUCAACGAAGACCUCCUUAAGCAGUCAGUAAUCAAGUAGGAGUUGUCUGGCUGGGGAAAUGGCAAGCAGUGUCUAGAAGGACUCCAUCUGAUUAAAUGGAUAAACAGAUCCCAAGACAUGCCACAGCAGACAGACACACCUGAGAAUUUUAAGCUGCUCUAAAACAAAAGGCUCUUUAGUGUAGGGACCUAUCAGAGCUCAUGCUUCCAAGAUACCAAGACAGCAGUUUAAAAUCUGUAACAGCAAAGGAUAACUAGUGGUGAGUGCCCAGCUCACCCCUUAGGAAACAGACCCUACCUAACAGGGUGGAGGGCCUUCCCGGAGCCCUGGCUGGCUGGAGAGCAGACUCAAAGAAUGUACGCUCUCCACACACACACACAACUCUCAACAGACCCACGGGGGUCAGCUCUGUGUGGAUCUGUUUUGGGCCAGAAGAAGCCAAACUUGGGGGGCCAGUAGCUUUCUCAAACUCAGCAAGGCCAGCAAGGUUUGGUUCCUCACCAGAACAGCACGCCUGCCCUGUUCCAAAGGGACAGCAGUGUUUGCUGGCUGAGUGGGCCUGCUGCACAAGGGACAGGUGAGGGAGGACAGACUAAGUCAAAUGCACCUGGAGAAGAGGAAGGGUCAAGCUGGGACAACCGAGCUUGGAGCAGCCGAAAGCAGCAGCAGCGUUCUAACGGCAAGACACCACCUCAGUGCUGUGCCCCGUCUGAGAGCAGACCCUUUCAGCUGGGAAAAGCAACACAAAAGGCAACAUGGUUUUUCCCUUUCAAAGACUGGCUUGUUUACUCAGGCCAACAAACCCUCUUACAGAGUUGAGAGAGACAGAAAAGUUGAGGCCAGUAGCCCUGGCCUGACAGUGUACUAACCGGGCUGAUAAGGAGGCCGGAAUGGUGCCAGAGACCACAGGUAACGUGCACGUGAUGCCUCUCGUUAGUGAGGUAGAUGGUCGUCCUCUUGCUAAGGUAUCAGGGGGCCAACCCACAGCACAGUGGAAAGGAGAACGAUCUGCCUGGCUCAACAGCACAGGCGGGCUCCUGCACAGGGCUGAUUCCAACACAGCAACCCACCAAAAUGAACAGGUCGCUCCAAGAAAAGUUAACCUCUUGGAGCUGGACUCUUGCCCUGAGGCCUGCACACCACCAGCUUCCUUCGCUUGGAGACACAACAUCACAAAUCCAACUGUCCCGGGUACCUACUUCCACAAGUGGAGUCUGUACCUGUCCUGCUCGUCAGACAUGCUUCAUGUCACCAUGGGAGUCUGAGAGGUGAAGGGGGGAGAACAGCCCAGAGAGGUUGUAAAGCAAAAGGUUUAAAAGCAGGUGAAGUUUAAAAUCCCAUCAAAGAGCUGGGAGGCAGGGGACGGGACAGGAGGAGGAGGGGAGCCCUGCGGUAGUGGACAGGUGGGUAAGACAGACUGGCAGCCAUUACUUCCCAUGCAAGUCACUUAGCUCCACGUCAUCCUUUCGGCGCUUGUGGGUGAAGAGCGAGGUGACCGGGUAGAGCUUGGCCUUGGCCUGGAACCGGUGUCCCGCGAUGUCAAUCUCAUACUCUCCCCGGUUGAUGAAAUCUGCUGUCACCACCUGUUCUUCCCCAGUAUCCUCGGAAAAAUUGUGCACGAAGCCCAGGCAGACGUGGCGCUCCAGAGUGUAGCUGUAGGCACUGCUGGUGGUCUUGCCCGCAUACUGCCCGUUGCGGUAAAUGGGCUCUCCCCACCACGGCCAGAGGUCCAGGUCGGUGUCGUGAUCGUCCAGGAUGAACAUGGUGAGGCGUUUGUACACCCCGUUCUGCUUCUGGUGCAGCAGGGCGUCUCGGCCAAUGAAGUCCAUCCCCUAGGAAAGAACGGCAGGGCUGAAACCGGAGGGACUGUAUUCACCGUACAAAAGACCUCAGGAAACUUCUGUUAACACAAGCAUACAUUUUUCUUUUCCAUCUUAUAAACAGAUUUCAACCACAAGACCACACAGAAAAAAAUAUUUAGGAAAAAAAUCAUCCGAAUGUAUCACUAGAAUUAUUUUACAAAAACAAUAUUCAGAUAAUCUCAACAAAAAGUCCAUGCAUAUAUAUCUAUAUUCAAUGCAUACAGGUUUGUAUAAAAAACCUAAGAAGGAUAGAAACUUAGUGAUUAUGAUCAGAUAAAACGGGUGUUUUAAUUUUCUUGAUACUUUCCCCUAUUUUCCAAAAUUAGUAUUCAUUACUUUAUCAGAGAAAAACAGUUAUCUGUAAUUGCACACAGAGAAGACUACAGAUUUGUGCUGACAAGGAAUGACUGCUAAGGUAUUUUGUUUAAAGAAACAAGGUGGAGCAAGCGUGUGGCGCCACGGCCUGCGGGGGUGUAGGGGGGAGGGAGCACGCUCGUGUGCGUGCACUCAGAGCAGGGACGCUGCUGCUGGGCCAGCUCGGAGUGCAGGUCGGUAGGGUUCAGAGGUGGGAAAGAGACUUCUCCCUAACAUCCUCUUGACCUAGGACUUUUUUUGAAAAUGUUAUUCAUAUUUCCUUUGAAAAGAAACAAAAAAUGAGGCAGCUGAAUGUAAGAGGAGUACUCUGUGCAAAUCUCUGUGGCAUGUUAAUGGAGAACCUUCCCUGGAAGCACUCAGUCUGCAGGAGCGCCAAGCAGGGCACCCGGGUGCUUCAGACAGCACAGCGUGCAGCUCUAGAUCUCAGCAUGGGGGGGGGGGCGGGGGAGCCAAGUGUUCACAACCAGUUUUCUUAUUAGGACACACACAUCUUUCACUCUAAGGACAUCCUUCUUGUCCUUGUCCACCCAAGGCCAUCCCUGGACCUGCCACCUUAGCCCUUCCUUUCUGAGGCACAGUCUGCUCCAGCAGCGGAGUGGGGGUGGGGGGAGGCAGUGGGCUGGGCAGAUACAGUACCUUCUCCAGUUUCACCCGAGAUUCUCGUCCACAUUCCAGGGGGGUGGUGAGGGUAUUUAAAUCCUGACCCCAGAAGGCAAAAAACUUCUCAAUUCGAAGACUACGAAGAGCAUAGUACCCAGCAUUCCGGAUUCCGUAUUUCUGCCCAACACUCAUCACCUCAUUGUACACGUGCAGGGCAUACUAGAGGGGGAGAGGAAAGGUCAGUAACCUUCAGAAUUCAACACGGGGGUGUGUCUGGCAGAGCCGACGGCGGACCACCUGGACCCUGACAUGGCAGAAGGUUGUAUGAAAUUCUCAGGACGUCUCAUCCUUGACACACCAAAGCACUACUGCCCAGGGGUAAUGAGCCAGGGUCACCCCAAACCCAAUUUAAGCUCCAUGAAGGCAGUACCCAUAUCUUCCCCUUCUCUAUGGUGCCCAGGACAGGGAGCAAUCCUCAAGUAUGAACCCGAGACGCACUCCUGUCACCCAGUCCAUGGCCAGGCCUGUAACUGCCUCUCAAACAGCCCGCUCACCUGCCGUUGGCUUUGCUCUCUUGCCCCACGCGCCACCCCUGUGACCCACUAUGCACUGCCUGUGCUAUGAAAUGUGUGUCACGGAGGAGCCAGGAAGGCAGCACGCCCCUACCCGUGUCCCGCAGCCAGCCUCUCAUGGCAUUCUUUUCUUGGUUCCAGAAACUAAGUAUCAGAUACCUUAAGUAAACAAAGUUUUCCCAACGGAAAGCAAAUGUUCAAUCCCUCCCUAAACCCACUCUGUGGAAUCUAAAGCCAGAACAGACAGCAUUAUUUGCUUUAAAAACUGUAAAACAAAAGACAAAACUAUGAGAAAUCAGAGAAAUACUGUAAGAUCGCACUUCUAAGCAGAAUCUAAAACAAGAAACACAAACCCACAGAAAAAGAGCCCAGAGUUGUGGUUUGAGAGUUGGGGAAUGCAAGCAGGGGAAGUGAAGGAAGGGGGCCGAAAGUACAGACUUCCAGUUGGGAG